GCCCGGAUGGUGGAACUGGUAGACACACGAGACUUAAAAUCUUGCGGCCAUUUGGCUGUGCGGGUUCGACUCCCGCUCUGGGCA
rnacentral:tRNA from 1 species